rnacentral:rRNA from 1 species
CCUACGGGUGGCUGCAGUGGGGAAUAUUGGACAAUGGGCGAAAGCCUGAUCCAGCCAUGCCGCGUGUGUGAAGAAGGCCUUCGGGUUGUAAAGCACUUUUAGUGGGGAAGAAAGCCUUGGGGCUAAUACCCUCGAGGAAGGACAUCACCCACAGAAGAAGCACCGGCUAACUCCGUGCCAGCAGCCGCGGUAAUACGGAGGGUGCGAGCGUUAAUCGGAAUUACUGGGCGUAAAGCGCGCGUAGGCGGUCUGAUAAGCCGGUUGUGAAAGCCCCGGGCUCAACCUGGGAACGGCAUCCGGAACUGUCAGGCUAGAGUGCAGGAGAGGAAGGUAGAAUUCCCGGUGUAGCGGUGAAAUGCGUAGAGAUCGGGAGGAAUACCAGUGGCGAAGGCGGCCUUCUGGACUGACACUGACGCUGAGGUGCGAAAGCGUGGGUAGCAAACAGGAUUAGAUACCCGAGUAGUC